CCCCAGCCAGCCACCCACUUCGGAGCACAGGGCUGCCCUUAUAGCACAAUUUGCCAGCCAACGCGGCUGGGGGAGGGGGCGGGGCAGUAUAUCAAGGAGAGACUGGGAUAGGUGCUGAGCGAGUGGAUUGCUUCCCAGCAUUGCAAGACAGCAGGGCUGGGGCUAUUUCCCUGCUGUUUUCCUGGUGCUAAAAUGGACAAGCCUUUCCAAACGGUGCAAGGGGCAGGGCUGCGAGAGGCAGAAGGUGGUAGCGAUCGUCACAGCUCCCUGUUAUCCUAACCCCAAAGACCUCGCCUCCGACGGGUAGGAAUUUCAUUCCUCUCGUCAGCUUCCCUUCAGGCUCCCGCCUCUGUGUCCAAGGGCGGGUCCCCAAGCCCUCAGCGACUGGCCUUUGGGUGUCCACAGGUCCCGCCGUUGCUCCACAAUGAGAUCUUGUACGCACACAUAUAAUCGACAUUGCUGCCCUCCUGCUUAGCAAAGCCCGAACACCCCUUUUCUAGCCGCUGCAGCAAAGGAAAUGAAAACUCCCGCGCUCGGUGUGCGAGCAAGAAAGAUCUUCUCUGGCCAGGGCAAGACCCGCUCUCCUCUGCUUUGUGAGUCUGAUCGGCCGCCUUCUCCAAAAGCCUCCUCGCCAGCCCACGGGACUCCAGAGCAGGCAUUGGGCAAGCAGGCUCUUUGCCACGAAACUGAAUGCCACCAGGUCACCUGCCAUUGGAAAAGCCACUUGGCCUCCCGACCAACUCAUCCCCCCGUCACAAAGCCACGCGGGGAACAAGGCAGUGAGCGUCACAAAGCUAUUUAGAUUCCGAAGACUGCCACCCCCUCGUUAUCAAUGGUCACCAUGUUCUAGAAUCUUGGCCACGUUCUCUUGGGAAGCAUGGAGCUGAGUAAGUAGGUCUGCAGAAGGCCUUAAUUGUAGGGGCAAAGAAGGGGAAGCAAAUUCUGUAAAUAACGAAACUCCACAGCAGGAUGGCCCCUCUUUUAGUGGAGGUGAAGAAAGAGAGGAGCCAGUAUUCCAGAGGUCACCUCACUUUAGAUUUACCAAGCCAGCUGAGAAGAGAAUCAACUCUAAGAGACUGCCAGCAGCGCCCGUAAUUUACAUUGUCUUCCUCCCUGCUUCACUGUGGACCCAGGAUCUUGGAACAUUUGCCUGGGUCUUUAUCUGCUGUCUUGCUGAUCGCAAAAAACAUCAUUGUCUCAUUUUACACCAGUCAACUAAGCGAGUGCCAGUGGAAUAAAAUCCACAAAGUACACACAUAACUGCUCUCUGGCUAAAGAAGUCUGUUCCUUGCAAGCUGUAAAGGCCUGCAAAUUAAAUACCAGUUACUGAGGGCCAUAAAAUGCUUUUUAUUGCACAAAGUCUACUUAAAACAGAAGAGAAUAGACCUUUUAUUUUCAGGACGGGAAAGAAGGGUGGGUCCCGAAGACAUAUAUUGGCAAAGAAAUAAUACAUACAGUGCCUGAAUAGAGGCAUAGUGGAGAAAUUCUAUCGCCUUCGGGAGACAGGUUUUUCUCGUGGCAUACAGAGGCGGUGUUAUGCAAAGGUGGCUAUGAUGGGGCUUAUUGCAGUUCCCUUUUUAUAGAAAGAAAGAAAGAAAGAAAGAAAGAAAGAAAGAAAGAAAGAAAGAAAGAAAGAAAGAAAAACUCACUCUGCACUAAGUGCCGUUUGGCAAGCAUCCUGAUGUGCCAAUGCGAUUCCAAAAAGCAUCGACGUGAUAGUUUGGCAUGACGAAAAUGAUGGCUCUAAAAUACUGUUGAUGGAAACCACAAGUCGUAAGCAAGUGCUGAUUAAACUCCAGGCGAAUGUAUCCUUUCGGGAGGAGGAAUGACCAGACCUUUACACUCUGGAUCUGGUACGACGAGUUGCAACAAGCAGUGACUUUUAAUAAAACUUAUAGUGGGUAA